rnacentral:rRNA from 1 species
AAAAACAUCGCCUCCUGCUAACACUCAGUAUAUGAGGUCCCGCCUGCCCCCUGACUAUAAGUUUAACGGCCGCGGUAUUCUAACCGUGCAAAGGUAGCGUAAUCAUUUGUCUUUUAAUUAAAGACCAGUAUGAAUGGCAUAACGAGGGCUUAACUGUCUCCUUUUUCAAGUCAAUGAAAUUGAUCUUCUCGUGCAGAAGCGAGAAUAAACACAUAAGACGAGAAGACCCUGCGGAGCUUCAGACACAAAAGCAGACCAUAUAGAUACCCUACAUAACAGGACAUCACCCUAAUGUUAACCCUGCUUUCCAUCUUCGGUUGGGGCGACCAAGGGGAACUAAAUAACCCCCAUGUGGACUGGGAACAUACACCUCCCAAAACCAAGAGUGACAACUCUAGCUCAUAGAACUUCUAACCUUAAAUGAUCCGGUAUAACCGAUCUACGAACCAAGUUACCCCAGGGAUAACAGCGCAAUCCCCUUCUAGAGCCCAUAUCGACAAGGGGGUUUACGACCUCGAUGUUGGAUCAGGACACCCCAAUGGCGUAACCACUAUUAAAGGUUCGUUUGUUCAACGAUUAAAGUCCUACGUGAUCUG